rnacentral:rRNA from 1 species
AGCGAGAAAGUGGCUUCGGCCAUCAGUAAAGCGGCGGACGGGUGAGUAACACGUAGGUAAUCUUCCCUUGAGCGGGGGACAACGAGCCGAAAGGCUCGCUAAUACCGCAUAAGUUUCUCGGGACUCCGGUCCUGGGAAGGAAAGCUAGGUAGCAAUAUCCGGCACUCGAGGAGGAGCCUGCGUCGCAUCAGCUAGUUGGUGGGGUAAUGGCCUACCAAGGCGAAGACGCGUAGCUGGUCUGAGAGGAUGAUCAGCCACACUGGGACUGAGACGCGGCCCAGACUCCUACGGGAGGCAGCAGUGGGGAAUAUUGGACAAUGGGCGCAAGCCUGAUCCAGCCACGCCGCGUGAGUGAUGAAGGCCUUCGGGUCGUAAAGCUCUGUGGGGAGGGACGAACCGCUGGAGGUUAAUACCUUCCAGCAUGACGGUACCUCCUUAGCAAGCACCGGCUAACUUCGUGCCAGCAGCCGCGGUAAUACGAAGGGUGCAAACGUUGCUCGGAAUUAUUGGGCGUAAAGCGCACGUAGGCGGCUUAGCAAGUCGGAAGUGAAAUCCCACGGCUCAACCAUGGAAGUGCUUUCGAAACUGCUGAGCUUGAGUACGAAAGAGGAUCGCGGAAUUCCCGGUGUAGAGGUGAAAUUCGUAGAUAUCGGGAGGAACACCAGUGGCGAAGGCGGCGAUCUGGGUCGAUACUGACGCU